AUAAUAAUAAUAAUAAUAAUAAUUUGUUUGACAGAGUGGAGCCGACCCCCCUGUCACUUGCACUGUUCUUCGUCCUUUUCUGAUUUAGGUUGCAGUUGGCUUUCAUUUUUCUUUUUUUCCUUUUUGCUUCAUUCCUCCUCUGCUUCCUAGUUGACCAGCCUUUUUCUUUUAUUUUCUUUCUUCUUUUUCUCAUGCAGGUCGCCUGGUCUUCUGCUUCAGAAAGCCCAUCCCCUAUGCCCGACUCCUUUGCACACGCCCUGCCAUUCAUCUGCUUCACGACUCCAUCAACAUCUCAAUCUCCUUUUCCACACGGCAUCUCCGCUGUUCUCUUCGAUCUUCUGCAGUUUACAGGAUGCCCAUGCCCCUGCAAUUCUGACUAUCAACCUUCUUUUCUUCAUUUUUUUUCCCUGCACGGAAACUCCCCAGGAACCACCCUCUACUUUGGUUUCUUCUUCAGGGCAUCAGCUCAGGUUCUUUCGAUUAGAGGUCACCAGCUCCCACCCCAGCUGAUCAGUCUCUCUCUCUCUCUCUCUCGGUCUCUUUCUCUUUGGCUCGGGCCAAAAAAAAAAAAUUCAGCUGCAGUAACGGGCCCCACGAGCUCGUUGAGUUCCCCUCAGCAUCCUCACCCUAGCCGGACUCCUUUCAGCGGAGGCUCUCUCCCCUUCAGCUCAUUUUCCCCGACCUUCCCACAGCACAUCCCCGGAGCCCUCAGUUCAUCGAUGGCGGCUCCAGUCCUUGCCCCCAGCUGACUCUCGAUCCCCUCAGCGCACUGGCCCUUUCCCUCAGCGCUCGACCCCUGUCCCCCGGCUCAGAGCCCUCAGCUGAAACCAUUCCCUCGGUUUCCAGCUUCACGCCAUCCCAUCAUCUCCAUUCUUCCUCAUUCUUAUCCACCGUUCCCUCCUGAUCAUGCCACCCCAUCACUUGCUCUUUCUUGUCUUCCUUGGCAGCUUCCAUUCUUUUUCUUUUACACACACCAGCAAACGUUUUGAUCGCUUCUCGUGCCUUCCUUGAGCUCCGUGAGCUACUUGAAGCUGCUGACAGUGCCCCGAAGUCCCUGAGCUGAGUCUCUCGUACAUUUCUCUAAUUUAUCUCCUUUGCUAGUCGUGUUUUGUCCGUUUAUUUUCGUUUUUGCUGCUUCUUUUCUUCACUUUUGUAGGUUCUUCCUGGAGCUGCCACGCCGCUGAACGUCCUCAUGUUCCCGAGCUGUGCUGAGUUGCCGAGGACGGCCGGUUAACAGUCCGCUCUAGCCUCCGUUCGUGGACAACCCGAAGCCUCACGUGUUUCCUCUCGAUAAUGGCUCGGGAAAGUCCCUCCCUCCCCCUCUCUCUCUCUCUAGGAAUCCGAGAAGACGACAAGAGCCUUUUCUCUCUCUCUCUCUCUGUUGCCGCAACCUACACUCCCUCCUCCCUCCUCCCUCCCUGCGAAGAUAGAAGGACCAGAAUCAGCGGAGCUGAACCAAAAAUGCCAGGACUCCGAGCACCGUCCGAUUACUCUCAGGAACCGCCUCGUCAUCCUUCUCUCGUUUUAAAAGUCUUUUCUUGGAUUGUGUGUAAUCAUAUUUUCCCUUUUUUGGCAUUAAUUGGAUGAUAAAUUAUAUGUUCAACGUAUUAGUUUUAAUUAA